rnacentral:lncRNA from 1 species
GAAUAAUUUGGUGGAUGUCCAUUAAGUAUUGGCCCAUUCCACUGGCCCAUUAUAUUGUCCUAUAAAUAGGACUUGUAUUGUCAUGUAAACAGACACCUUGAUGAGAAUAAUACAAUCUCUAUUCUUUCUCUCUUCUCUUCUUCUCUCCUCUAUACUUANNNNNNNNNNNNGAUUAUGAAUCGUUUGAACCUUGUAUACUUAUAAAGAUCAAAUAAUAAUAAUUAAAAUUAAAUAAAUAAAUAAGCAUCAUUCCUUUAUGUAUUUAAUUGAUUCAA